rnacentral:rRNA from 1 species
GAUGAACGCUGGCGGCGUGCCUAAUACAUGCAAGUCGAGCGAACGGCCGAGAAGCUUGCUUUUUCGCUGUUAGCGGCGGACGGGUGAGUAACACGUGGAUAACCCACCUAUAAGACUGGGACAACUCCGGGAAACCGGAGCUAAUACCGGAUAAUAUUUUGAACCGCAUGGUUCAAAAGUGAAAGACGGUCUUGCCGUCACUUACAGAUGGAUCCGCGCUGCAUUAGCUAUUUGGUUAGGUAACGGGUUACCAAGGCAACGAUGCAUAGCCGACCGGAGAGGGGGAUAGUCCACACUGGAACGGAGACAGGGUCCAGCCUCCUAGGGGAGGCAGCAGUAGGGAAUCUUCCGCAAUGGGCGAAAGCCUGACGGAGCAACGCGGCGUGAGUGAUGAAGGUCUUCGGAUCGUAAAACUCGGUUAUUAGGGAGGAACAUAUGUGUAAGUAACUGUGCACAUCUUGACGGUACCUAAUCAGAAAGCCACGGCUAACUACGUG